rnacentral:rRNA from 1 species
AUUGAACGCUGGCGGCAGGCCUAACACAUGCAAGUCGAACGAGUGGCGGACGUGUGAGUAAUGUCUGGGAAACUGCCCGAUGGAGGGGGAUAACUACUGGAAACGGUAGCUAAUACCGCAUACCAUCGGAUGUUCCCAGAUGGGCUUAGCUGGUAGGUGGGGUAAUGGCUGACCUAGGCGACGAUCCCUAGCUGGUCUGAGAGGCUGACCAGCCACACUGUAACUGUGACACGGUCCAGAGUCCUACGGGAGGCAGCAGUGGGGAAUAUUGCACAAUGGGAUCAAGCCUGAUGCAGCCAUGCCGCGUGUAUGAAGAAGGCAUUAGGGUUGUAAAGUACUUUCAGCGAGGAGGGGUUACUCGCAGAAGAAGCACCGGCUAACUCCGUGCCAGCAGCCGCGGUAAUAC